CCUCCCUGUCGCCGCCAGCCAUCCUCCCAGCCCCGCCUCUUUUCCUCCCCACAGCCCCCCUCCUCCAGAGAAGCAGCAGGCCCCGCCCGCCGCGCCGCCGCCGCCGUCGCGCGCGACCCUCCUCUCUCGACGCCCGCUCGCACCGACGCAUCCAGGGCUGCUCUGGCUCGCGUGGCGCCUCCACCGCCGGCAGGAGGGGGCCGCAGCGGCCGUCGUGCGGCCCGACGACCAGGAGCGCCUCGCUUGUCCGCGUCCACGCCUUCGGCGGCUCCUACGCCGACGAGCUCGUCUCCACCGCGGUGAGCGCCCCCACGCUGCCCACCAACCCUGCGCCUGCCCUCCCACUCUGAUCCUCGUAGCCUUGCCUAGGUCUAGGAGCCGGUGGCCCGCGGGAGGAUCUCGCCCGUGAGGCGAUCCACGUCUGCGUCAGCAGCUUGUUGAACUGCGAGUACUCCGGGUACGCCGCCAGGAUCUUGGUGAUGUUGUACCCCUCCGCCGCCGCCGCCAGGGCCAGCACCGCCAGCGCCACCGGCAACGUCCGCCGCCGCGCCUCCAUUAUCCUCUCCUCCUUGGUCGGUGCCGCUGCCGUCGGCGUUUGGAGCUUGGCCGCUAGCGCUGGCCGGGGUCGUUUCAGCUCAGCUCGGGAUGGAGUGGGGCGGAAUGGUGGAGAGCACUGAGCUGAGCUGAGCAGAGCACCACUGAUGGUGUAAUCCUCCUCAUCCACGACGCCCAUCUCCGGCCAUGGCGACCUCGGAUCUCCGGCCCUGGUUGCUCAGAUGUUGCUGCUGCUGCUGCAGGUGGACGUGGUGAGCUCCAUCCCAUCUUUUUACCCUGCUGAAGCACAUACUGAUUAUGUGGAGUUUUUCGAACUGCCUGCUAUAAAGGUCAGGGAAGAAUAGCACAACAUGGAUUCAUAAACCCACGGUGGGUGGAUGGUGAGCUGUUGGUACUCAAUGGCAAGCAUUACUGGUUUUGAUCAACAUGUUGGGACCGCACCCUCGCGCCAAGGUUUAAUGGUUGGUUAUUUCUCCUCUGUUGAACCAUACUCUUUUCCUCGCAGGGCAACCAUAUGUAUGCAGAGAUGCCUAAGAAAUUUGUUAACCAAUUUAUAUGUGUCCUCCAAGAGUGUGGGUUGAUGAUCGUUGCAAGUUUCUGGUCUUUCUCAAGAAGUAUGUCUUCGGGGCGGUGGAGAGUCAAUACAUGAUUAAGUUCACUAGGUAUACAUCUGUUGCAUGGUGGGAGGGUCUAGAAGCAGAAUGUCCUUUCUGCACCUAUGCACUGACUCCAAUUAAUCAGCUCCCAAGGUCUACAAACAUGCCUGAGCGUUUCACAGAUGUGGCUGGGAUUAUCCCAGUUUUCUUCCUUUUUUCAUGUUGGAAUCAGUGACAAUACCUUGCCGGGGUGGGUACCAGGAGAUGAGUCUCGUGGCGGUGAGCGGAAUGGAGACAAGGAUGGCGACUUGAUGCUUCUCAGAGACCUCCUCUGGAGGUGAAUUUUCUGGGCCUUUUGUUUGCUAUUUCACAGAGUUGGAUCUGCAUGCUCAUGUUGUUCUUCAGCUUAUGUCAUGUAGUUUAGGUUCAUAUAUACACUACUUAAUUAGGUUCAGGAGAUGGUUCGCUGUUGGACGUGUGCUAUGGGAUGUUUUGGUGGUCUGAUGCUUUUAGCCACCGCUCUCGUUCAGGAGGUGCUCCUUUAUCUUGACCAUGACUCUGAUUUUUAGUUAGACACCAUGUUUGCAGAUUCAGUUCCAAAGUCAGGGUACUGUUUUUUAUUUUUUGUAAGCAUUAGUGAGCUGAAAUAUGUAGAGUUUGGAUUGGGGAUAUAAGCAUUGUUAAACUAAAGAAGCCUUUCCAUGCUCAGCAUUAUUGGCGACCUCUCUAAUUUGGAGUUGUGAACCAAUGGGAGAUUCAUCGUUUAAUAUUAUUCUUUAAUCACUAAAUCAUAUAGGAGAUUCCUUUGCUGCCCCAUUAACCAAAUAUUAGUGUUACUAAAAAACUGACAAAAUGUUAUUCUGGUUGCGACUGAGCCCUACUGAGGCAAGGUCGCCCCUUUUAACCGCUUACAUCCUCAAUAGGUGAGUCCCUGGCACCCCUCUCUCUAUUGAUUGAUCCAUAUAUCGCCAGGAAAGAAUGGCUAUCAGUUCAACUACUAUUGGACUAUGAAUUAUUGUUUUUUUAGGGAAAUUAAUUACUCCUUGGAGAAUCAUAGAUCCAUGUUCUAUUUUUGUCAUGUAAGUUAGGUUAUAACUAUGUAGUUACAACCACAUAUUCAGAGUUGCAAUAAAAAACAAUUAAUAAUAGAAACAAGUCAAUUAUGCGACUCGGUUGCGUCUUUCCGCAUAUCAAUCUUGGUUUAGGUCAUUUAUUAUUUGAUCCAGUGAUUGUGUUGAUGGCUUAGUUUCUAUUUCUUCAGAAAGGCACAAAUAGGAUCAACCCUAUCCAAUUAAAGUUUAAUCACCUCACAUAUACAUGCUUUUUUUGAAUAUAUAUAGUUGUAUUCAAUUUGGCUAGGAUGUAAUCCCAGUGCUGCUAAAGUUAUUCCCCAAGAAAUCACAUAUUUGCAGUGUUCUUUUUGAAGAAAUGUCUUCCUGCACAAUACUAUGUAUGGCUAGCUGCUAGCUGUUGAUAUAUAUUGAUUUCUGUCAAAGAGAUUGCAGUUAUAUAAACCUUAAUUAGACAUCUUUGAAGGGAGUUUAGCCAUUCCAUAUUUCUCUUUUGGGCAUGUGUUGGCAUGAGAUUAGUACCAGCGACUGUGGUGGCUUACAUGAGAAGUGUUACAUGUCUUGGCAUGGUUUUAUAUAAGCCAGUAACACCGUUUUAUUUUCUGUCUGUCAUGAUUUAUCAGUUUGGUUGUUAUAAAUCUGUUUUUCAUCAAGCUCAUAUCACUGUUUAUUUGAAUUCCUUGCAUUUGUGAUUAGUUGACGGUAUAAGCCUUAUUUAUCAAGUGAAUUUGUAGACUGAUGUACUUGCAGACUAAUAAUAGUAUUGACAUUUGCUUACUAACUAAUGUCUCUGUAGCAGGCUAAUUUGUGUGUUUUUGGUUGUGGCAGACCAUUUUUAGUCAAAUUGAGAAACAACCGCCUUUUUGUCUUGGCCCAUAACCAGCCGUGAAAGACGAGAUGUUUAUGCUGCCCUUCUACCUUCCUCCUUGUCCCUAUUUUUCCCCAUCGCGUGUUGCGCUCUCUGAAGUAAAAUAAACAGGAAACUGUAUGCUGAAAAGUGGGGUGAUAAAUAUCUAGUUACUAGAUUAACUAAAUUUGUGAUCCCAAUAUUGUGAGCAAAAUAGUGAAAUGUCAGGGUUUGCUCUACUGCAAAUUUGCAGUUUACUUGAACUUUGUUGUGAUGAGCAAUUCUGGUCUGACCAAACUAAUAAAUGCAUGUGCUUUCCA